GAUGAACGCUAGCGGGAGGCCUAACACAUGCAAGCCGAGCGGUAUUGUUUCUUCGGAAAUGAGAGAGCGGCGUACGGGUGCGGAACACGUGUGCAACCUGCCUUUAUCUGGGGGAUAGCCUUUCGAAAGGAAGAUUAAUACUCCAUAACAUAUUGAUUGGCAUCAAUUAAUAUUGAAAGCUCCGGCGGAUAGAGAUGGGCACGCGCAAGAUUAGCUAGUUGGUGAGGUAACGGCUCACCAAGGCGAUGAUCUUUAGGGGGCCUGAGAGGGUGAUCCCCCACACUGGUACUGAGACACGGACCAGACUCCUACGGGAGGCAGCAGUGAGGAAUAUUGGUCAAUGGGUGCAAGCCUGAACCAGCCAUCCCGCGUGAAGGACGACUGCCCUAUGGGUUGUAAACUUCUUUUGUAUAGGGAUAAACCUACCCUCGUGAGGGUAGCUGAAGGUACUAUACGAAUAAGCACCGGCUAACUCCGUGCCAGCAGCCGCGGUAAUACGGAGGGUGCAAGCGUUAUCCGGAUUUAUUGGGUUUAAAGG
rnacentral:rRNA from 1 species